AUGCGACCAUGUUAUUUAUGCAGCAGCAUUUGCAGGCGAAGUGACCUCUGCAGAGAGCUGAUGGCAACUGUUACACAGUAUCUUUCAUUGUAUCCAAAAAUGAUGAUGGAAGCUGAGAAUGUAGAACUGCAGACUUCCCGGGCCUGGUGUGCGAGGAGCGGCAGCUCCGCCAGCGAGGGUGUCGGGGGGCUGCUCACGCUGCGCUAAGGGUGCCUGUGGUUAAAAAAGGACCAGGCCGAAGGAACUGGCUUUUUCCUUUUCUUUUUUUUUUAAUCUUUUAUCCUCUCCUUGUCUCCAUUAUUCCUCGGAGAGGAGGAAAGCGGUGUGGAAAUGGAUUCCCAACCUGCGCGUCUCAGAUUCGGGUUUGAGCGUUGCUCAGUGGCUUUGCUCUGCUCGCUGCGUCUCUCUGGCCUCUCCGGUUGCGCUUGGCUUGCUGUGACGGUGCCGUGGCAGCCGCUGGGGUGACGCUCACGUCUCGCCUCGGACUUGGACCUCGCCGGAAAUCUGAUGGACUCUGGCGACCAGUGCAGCGAGGGCUGGAGCCGGCGUGCUGGCGGGUGGCAGGACUUGGUGGCCUUUUAUUCUCUUUGGGGUCUUUAUUCUAGCAGCUAGGGCACACACCAUGCAUUUGGCAAAUACGUAAUUUAUUUAUCAUCUUAUCUCCUUUAGAAUGACCAAAAGGGUGACCGAAAGGGUGACCAUGGCUGACCGUACAGCAGUAUCAGACCCAUUCACUAAAUCAGUCACAGAAACAACUGUUGGCAUUACUUCCACGGGUAGUUUUUAUUUGGAAACAGUUUGCCUUAACAUAUAAUUCUGUUGUAUAUCAUAGUCGAUGUUUUUUUAAAUAUGGAAGUAACAGGGAGGAGAUGAAUAGGUGAGUACUUCUAAGUUGCUUUAGGUUUAAUGGGUCUUUUCUGUUCCUGCAAGUUAUACUAUUACUAACUUUUCAGAAGUGUCAUAACAUACUUUUUCAGUUCUGUUGGUAAACAGACUAAUAAAGCGCAGAAUAACCAUCUGUUCUUGCUUUAC
rnacentral:lncRNA from 1 species